GAUGAACGCUGGCGGCGUGCCUAAUACAUGCAAGUCGAGCGAACAGACGAGGAGCUUGCUCCUCUGACGUUAGCGGCGGACGGGUGAGUAACACGUGGAUAACCUACCUAUAAGACUGGGAUAACUUCGGGAAACCGGAGCUAAUACCGGAUAAUAUAUUGAACCGCAUGGUUCAAUAGUGAAAGACGGUUUUGCUGUCACUUAUAGAUGGAUCCGCGCCGCAUUAGCUAGUUGGUAAGGUAACGGCUUACCAAGGCAACGAUGCGUAGCCGACCUGAGAGGGUGAUCGGCCACACUGGAACUGAGACACGGUCCAGACUCCUACGGGAGGCAGCAGUAGGGAAUCUUCCGCAAUGGGCGAAAGCCUGACGGAGCAACGCGGCGUGAGUGAUGAAGGUCUUCGGAUCGUAAAACUCUGUUAUUAGGGAAGAACAAAUGUGUAAGUAACUAUGCACGUCUUGACGGUACCUAAGCAGAAAGCCACGGCUAACUACGU
rnacentral:rRNA from 1 species